rnacentral:rRNA from 1 species
UGCCAGCAGCCGCGGUAAGACGAACCGUCCAAACGUUAUUCGGAAUUACUGGGCUUAAAGGGUGCGUAGGCGGCUUGGCAAGUUGGGUGUGAAAUCCCUCGGCUCAACCGGGGAACUGCGCUCAAAACUGCCAGGCUAGAGGAAGAUAGAGGUGAGCGGAACUAAUGGUGGAGCGGUGAAAUGCGUAGAUAUGUGGAGGAAUACCAGUGGCGAAGGCAGCCUCCUGGCUCGACACUGACACUGAGGUGCGAAAGCGUGGGGAGCAAACAGGAUUAGAUA